rnacentral:lncRNA from 1 species
GCUAGGCCGAUCCUGGGUGCCUGACCAUGCUGUCCUGGCUGGCAGGGUUACCCACCACUGACAAACGUCCUGGCAAGUUUCUUUGGCAAGCUGCUGGGACAGGAGAUGGACCCACUCACGAAUGUGCUGGUGACAGUGGGUGCCUAUGGGGCCUUGUUCACAGCCUUUCAGGCCCUGGUGGAUGAAGGAGAUGAGGUAAGAAGUGACACCUGAAUGGGAGGGAGGAACUCAGGGCAGUGCUGACCCCAGAUAACCUGACCCUUGACCCAGGUCAUCAUCAUGGAACCUGCUUUUGACUGUUAUGAACCCAUGACAAUGAUGGCUGGAGGUUGCCCUGUGUUCGUGACUCUGAAGCCGAGCCCUGCUCCUAAGGGGAAACUGGGAGCCAGCAAUGAUUGGCAACUGGAUCCUGCAGAACUGGCCAGCAAGUUCACACCUCGCACCAAGAUCCUGGUCCUCAACACACCCAACAACCCUUUAGGAAAGGUACCCAGAAUCCAUUCGGAGACCUCUGCAAGCACACUUUUCCUUCAGGUCUUGAGUGUGGACUCUCCCAGUUUCCUUGCAUGAAGUGGGAAGGCUGAAUGCCUGAAACUCUGAGGACCAAUCCUCCCAGAGAUGUGAAGGCUUGGGUGCAUGGGCUGAGGGCCUGGGCACUUCCUGGUAGCUUUGAAACAGUGGCUUUAUCUGUCUGUGCAGUGGGAUCCAGACAUAGCCACUCCCACAAGGUCAGGAUGGCAGAGGUAGAUGCAAUAUGGACCAAUGUUGCAUCUCAAUAUUACAAAGAGAUGAUUCAGAGAAGCCCCGAGACCUGGUCAGGUCCUGUGCUCUGAGCAGGCUCUGCACUUGGGGACAGUCCCAGCUGCACACCUGUGACCUUGGCCCCCACAG